GUGCUGGCUUUGGCAACAUAUAUACUAAAACUAGAAUGAUACAGAGAAGAUUAGCAUGGCCCCUGUGCAAGGAUGAUAUACAAAUUUGUGAAGCAUUCCAUAUUUAA